rnacentral:rRNA from 1 species
CGCGGCCUAUCAGCUUGUUGGUGAGGUAACGGCUCACCAAGGCAGCGACGGGUAGCUGGUCUGAGAGGACGAUCAGCCACACUGGGACUGAGACACGGCCCAGACUCCUACGGGAGGCAGCAGCAGGGAAUAUUGCACAAUGGGCGAAAGCCUGAUGCAGCGACGCCGCGUGAGGGAUGAAGGCCCUCGGGUUGUAAACCUCUUUCAGGAGGGACGAAGCGAAAGUGACGGUACCUCCAGAAGAAGCCCCGGCCAACUACGUGCCAGCAGCCGCGGUAAUACGUAGGGGGCGAACGUUGUCCGGAUUUAUUGGGCGUAAAGAGCUCGUAGGCGGCUCAGCAAGUCGGCCGUGAAAGCCUGAGGCUCAACCUCAGGAGGCCGGUCGAAACUGCUGUGGCUAGGGUCCGGUAGAGGAGAGUGGAAUUCCCGGUGUAGCGGUGAAAUGCGCAGAUAUCGGGAGGAACACCAGUAGCGAAGGCGGCUCUCUGGGCCGGUACCGACGCUGAGGAGCGAAAGCUAGGGGAGCAAACAGGAUUAGAUACCCUGGUAGUCCUAGCCGUAAACGUUGGGCACUAGGUGUGGCGGAUUCAUUGACAUCUGCCGUGCCGAAGCUAACGCAUUAAGUGCCCCGCCUGGGGAGUACGG